CAAUGAAAUUCGUUUCUCUGGAACGAGUGAAAUAUCUUAGAUGUGAAAUAUGCCUGCGGCAUAUGAAAACAGGU
rnacentral:ncRNA from 2 species